UUCCCCUAGUAACUGCGAGUGAAGCGGGAAAAGCUCAAAUUUGAAAUCUGGCAGCUUUCCACUGUCCGAGUUGUAAUCUAGAGAAGUGUUACCAGUGCAGGACCAUGUACAAGUCUCCUGGAAUGGAGCAUCACAGAGGGUGAGAAUCCCGUCUUUGACAUGGACUACCUGUGCAUUCAUGGUGUGCUCUCGAAGAGUCGAGUUGUUUGGGAAUGCAGCUCAAAAUGGGUGGUAAAUGCCAUCUAAAGCUAAAUAUUGGCGAGAGACCGAUAGCGAACAAGUACCGUGAGGGAAAGAUGAAAAGUACUUUGGAAAGAGAGUUAAACAGUGCGUGAAAUUGCUGAAAGGGAAACGCUUGAAGUCAGUCGCGUUGGCUAGGAAUCAACCCAGCUCCUGCUUGGUGUACUUUCUGGUCGACGGGUCAGCAUCAAUUUUGACCAUUGGAUAAAGUCUUUGGGAAUGUGGCAUCCUUGGAUGUGUUAUAGCCCAUAGUCGCAUACAGUGGUUGGGAUUGAGGAGCUCAGCACGCCGCAAAGGCCGGGUUUCGACCACGUUCGUGCUUAGGAUGCUGGCAUAAUGGCUUUAAUCGACCCGUCUUGAAACACGGACCAAGGAGUCUAACAUGCCUGCGAGUGUUUGGGUGGAAAACCCAUGCGCGCAAUGAAAGUGAAAGUUGAGAUCCCCUUCAAACAGGGAGCAUUGACGCCCGGACCAGAGCUUCUGUGACGGAUCCGCGGUAGAGCAUGCAUGUUGGGACCCGAAAGAUGGUGAACUAUGCCUGAAUAGGGUGAAGCCAGAGGAAACUCUGGUGGAGGCUCGUAGCGAUUCUGACGUGCAAAUCGAUCGUCAAAUUUGGGUAUAGGGGCGAAAGACU
rnacentral:rRNA from 1 species